AUUGAACGCUGGCGGCAGGCCUAACACAUGCACGUCGAACGAGUGGCGGACGGGUGAGUAAUGUCUGGGACACUGCCCGAUGGAGGGGGAUAACUACUGGACACGGUCGCUAAUACCGCAUAACAUCGGAUGUGCCCAGAUGGGAUUAGCUUGUAGGUGAGGUAACGGCUCACCUAGGCGACGAACCCUAGCUGGUCUGAGAGGAUGACCAGACAUAAGGGAAAGGAGACACGGUCCAGAAGCCGACGGGAGGCAGAAGUGGGGAAUGUGGCACAAUGGGCGCAAUGUUGAUGAGGCCAUGCCGAGUGGAGGAAGAAGGCCUUCGGGUUGUAAAGUACGUUCAGCGGGGAGGCGUUACCCGCAGAAGAAGCAGCGGCUAACGCCGUGCCAGCAGCCGCGGUAAUUC
rnacentral:rRNA from 1 species